UGCAGUCGAACGAGUUCUGAUUAUUGAAAGGUGCUUGCAUCUUGAUUUAAUUUUGAACGAGUGGCGGACGGGUGAGUAACACGUGGGUAACCUGCCCUUAAGUGGGGGAUAACAUUUGGAAACAGAUGCUAAUACCGCAUAAAUCCAAGAACCGCAUGGUUCUUGGCUGAAAGAUGGCGUAAGCUAUCGCUUUUGGAUGGACCCGCGGCGUAUUAGCUAGUUGGUGAGGUAACGGCUCACCAAGGCAAUGAUACGUAGCCGAACUGAGAGGUUGAUCGGCCACAUUGGGACUGAGACACGGCCCAAACUCCUACGGGAGGCAGCAGUAGGGAAUCUUCCACAAUGGACGCAAGUCUGAUGGAGCAACGCCGCGUGAGUGAAGAAGGCUUUCGGGUCGUAAAACUCUGUUGUUGGAGAAGAAUGGUCGGCAGAGUAACUGUUGUCGGCGUGACGGUAUCCAACCAGAAAGCCACGGCUAACUACGUGCCAGCAGCCGCGGUAAUACGUAGGUGGCAAGCGUUAUCCGGAUUUAUUGGGCGUAAAGCGAGCGCAGGCGGUUUUUUAAGUCUGAUGUGAAAGCCCUCGGCUUAACCGAGGAAGUGCAUCGGAAACUGGGAAACUUGAGUGCAGAAGAGGACAGUGGAACUCCAUGUGUAGCGGUGAAAUGCGUAGAUAUAUGGAAGAACACCAGUGGCGAAGGCGGCUGUCUGGUCUGUAACUGACGCUGAGGCUCGAAAGCAUGGGUAGCGAACAGGAUUAGAUACCCUGGUAGUCCAUGCCGUAAACGAUGAAUGCUAGGUGUUGGAGGGUUUCCGCCCUUCAGUGCCGCAGCUAACGCAUUAAGCAUUCCGCCUGGGGAGUACGACCGCAAGGUUGAAACUCAAAGGAAUUGACGGGGGCCCGCACAAGCGGUGGAGCAUGUGGUUUAAUUCGAAGCAACGCGAAGAACCUUACCAGGUCUUGACAUCUUUUGAUCACCUGAGAGAUCAGGUUUCCCCUUCGGGGGCAAAAUGACAGGUGGUGCAUGGUUGUCGUCAGCUCGUGUCGUGAGAUGUUGGGUUAAGUCCCGCAACGAGCGCAACCCUUAUGACUAGUUGCCAGCAUUUAGUUGGGCACUCUAGUAAGACUGCCGGUGACAAACCGGAGGAAGGUGGGGAUGACGUCAAAUCAUCAUGCCCCUUAUGACCUGGGCUACACACGUGCUACAAUGGAUGGUACAACGAGUUGCGAGACCGCGAGGUCAAGCUAAUCUCUUAAAGCCAUUCUCAGUUCGGACUGUAGGCUGCAACUCGCCUACACGAAGUCGGAAUCGCUAGUAAUCGCGGAUCAGCACGCCGCGGUGAAUACGUUCCCGGGCCUUGUACACACCGCCCGUCACACCAUGAGAGUUUGUAACACCCGAAGCCGGUGGCGUAACCCUUUUAGGGAGCGAGCCGUCUAA
rnacentral:rRNA from 2 species